rnacentral:rRNA from 1 species
GACGAACGCUGGCGGCGUGCCUAAUACAUGCAAGUCGAGCGAAUUUGGAGGAAGCUUGCUUCCUCUGAGUUAGCGGCGGACGGGUGAGUAACACGUGGGCAACCUGCCUGUAAGACUGGGAUAACACCGGGAAACCGGUGCUAAUACCGGAUAAUCCUUUUCCUUUCAUGAGGAAAAGCUGAAAGUCGGUUUCGGCUGAC